rnacentral:lncRNA from 1 species
AGCUAAUCAUUUUAAUCAUUGCCAUACUGGGUCUGUCUUUCAUAACAUCAUUGAAUUUUAUAUGAGAGAAUUGGGUCCAAAUCUGUCUGAUAACUUUAGAGCCAGCCUGUUAUGAGAACUAGUCUGUAGACACAUAAAAAAAACCUGCUUUCAUUAUUCUUCAUCAAGCUUAUCAAACCUCUUGUGUUUGUUAAAGGAUGUGGCAAACAUGACCAUUCUAUUUCUGAAACUGUUGUGUGGUUUCCCUGGAAAAGCUCCCUAAUAGUUUGGAUGAAUAGAAACUUCAUUGGGCUUUCCCAAGGAUAAAAUCCUUGUCCUGGAAAAACUGUGUUUAAAUACUGUCGACUGAAGCAUACGAAGUAAGAAUUAGCUCCGAUAAAGGGUCCUGGGUUUUAAUUCAGGUUAAGAUUGUCUAUUCUUACACCCUGUUGACUUAAACAAAGGGAUUUUAUGGCAUUUUUCUAUACUCUAUUCCAUCAUCAGUGUGUUUAAGAUAUAUUCAUUGAUUUAACAGAGUCUCAGGAUGUUUAACUGGGUGGUGAAGGUUGUGCCACAUCCUCCUGAUACACAGGAAGAUCUGGGGGAGGAGGCGAUCACAUCGAAUGGGAAAACAUCAAAUCGAGAUAAGUUCAGUUCAUCCAAAACAUGCAGGGAGGAAGACCAAUCAUCUCAAACAUCAAAAGAUAGUGUUCAGAGUGGUAUGUUGAACUGGAUCUCCAACGGUUUUGCAAGCACACUGCCCCAGCCCGGGAGUCCUCUUCUUACGAGAGCCAACUCUGAUGCAAAAUCGCUUCAGAAUGAAGGUUCUGUAGACAGGGCUGGAGUUAUUGGCUGGAUCUCACAGGGAAUUGGAAAAGUGGUCCCACAGCCUGAUGGGAAAUACAUACAGGAAAAGACAACAGAAUCUGAAGACGUCACAGAGGUUAGCAAAUGGCGCCCGGGGAGCAGUUGGGGGUUCAGUGCCUUGCUCAAGGGCACCUAAGUCAUGGUAUUGAGGGUGGAGAGAGCGCUGUACAUUCACUCCCCCCACCCACAAUUCCUGCCGGCCCGAGACUCGAACUCACAACCCUUCGAUUGGGAGUCCGACUCUCUAACCAUUAGGCCACGACUUCCCUUGAAGAAAAACAGCCAAAGCAU